UGGGGAAUCUUGGACAAUGGGGGCAACCCUGAUCCAGCGACGCCGCGUGGGUGAAGAAGGCCUUAGGGUUGUAAACCCCUUUCACCGGGGAGGAUGAUGACGUUACCCGGAGAAGAAGCACCGGCUAACUCCGUGCCAGCAGCCGCGGUAAGACGGAGGGUGCUAGCGUUGUUCGGAAUCACUGGGCGUAAAGGGCGCGUAGGCGGCUUGGCCAGUCAGAUGUGAAAGCCCGGGGCUCAACUCCGGAACUGCAUUUGAUACUGCCAAGCUGGAGGUCGAGAGAGGAAAGUGGAAUACCCAGUGUAGAGGUGAAAUUCGUAGAUAUUGGGUGGAACACCAGUGGCGAAAGCGGCUCGCUGGGUCUCUUCUGACGCUGAGGCACGAAAGCUAGGGUAGCGAACAGGAUUAGAUACCCCGGUAGUCC
rnacentral:rRNA from 1 species